CUCUGGUGCCUUCAAUGCUAUACUGUAAUGGCUAACAGCCCUGACACUGCCAGCCUGCAUUCAAGCAGGUAGGUCACACCCUGCUGCCCAGUUACAUUUUGCAGAGUGACAUGCUCCCAGACUUGAAUUUCCCCAGAACUGUCUGCCAGUGUGACAGUCCUCUGGGGUUCCCAGAACUGAGAGUUACUGUGCUGCCUGUCUCAGCGUCAGCAAGUGAAAGGUGUGCUAUUGCUAAGCUGUGUGACAACUUCCUGAAGCACCAGCCUGUCUGCCUUGCCAGAAAACCCUUCAGGACUCUGCCAGACCAAAGCUUGCCUAGCAGCUGGCUCAAGAGAUAGCCUCUCCACUGCCAAAGGAUACUUGAAAGAAGCUGGAACAAAGGACAGGAACCACGGGGGUAUAAGUGAUUGCUGGAUCCAGACUAGAAGGAGGCUAGUCUGUAAAAGAAACUUACUGGAACAUCGCUGAGGAAAGAAGAAAAUGCUACUACUAAUAUGGUUCUAGUUACUUCUGAGGACCAUCUUGUGGAAUGC